rnacentral:lncRNA from 1 species
GCGUCCCAGUGAAAAGUGAGAUUGGUCAGAAAAACCCUGGUUUCCUACAGUUGAAAGACCUGUGACGUUGUCAUGAAAAAGGACUCAGCCGCCUCUCUUAACCACCAGAACCAUCUGCACUCCGCUCGGUUACACCACUCUGUCUUCAGCUGAAAGGGGAGCGACAGGGCCUGAACCACAGGAGCCGGUUGUGUACAUUUUGUUCUUCUAGAUUAGGCCUCAGUAACUUUAUGAAUUAUGAGCUGUCAAGUACUUUUUCAUCUGCUAUAGAAUAUGCUUCUUAGAAAUUGUGGCUAUAAAUAAGUCAACAGAUGUUUUCUGCUGACUUCAACAGGAGCUUUUAAAAGGGGCUAAACCUAAGCGAAUUAAUCCAAAAGGCUGUAGAAGGUUUCCCCCUGUUGGUCACUUUUUGCAUUAGUCUUUUAAAGACGAAAGGCUUUCAUUUCAGCCUGUAAAAUACUUUCUGGGCAUUACUUGAAUGUAAUUUAUUAAAGAAACUGAAAAUCAGGGUCCUAA